CAUAUUCUGUAACCAGAAAGUCCACCGAGAGAGAGAGAGAGACCCAGAGAAAUAUGAGAGGUAUUACAGUAACAAAAUUUGCAGAGGGAGGGAGAGUAUCUAGUGUCUGGCUUGGAUGUGGAAAAUCUAGAGCUCAAAGAAAACCAAGAGGAAACAUCCAACUUAGUUUCUUCAGACAGAAAUGCGAUUCCUGUUAGUAGUCACAGCUGGUAGAGAGAGGGAUUUAGGCAUUUAGCUGAGAAAAUACUGUAGAGAGAGAAACAGAGGAUGGAUAUCUGCUCUGUCCACUGGAAGCAGAGCUAAAACAGAGCAGCAGCAGCAGCGCCACCACUGUCUCCUCAAGAUCACAAUGUCAUUUUCAGCAGAGGAACCAAUCACAGACGCUAACCAACCAUUGAAGAAGAGGUCACCAAGCUGGUCAGACCUCUGGCUCAAGAAUACUAAACCCUUAAAACAUGUCAUCUUUGCUAUGCAACUCCAGUCUCUCUCUAGCCCCACUCCAAACAAAGAAUCCAAAACCAAAACCCAAACCCUAAUCCCCAAAUUCUCCAAAAUCGACCGUACACUUCUCUUAAGCGACGAGCUUCUACUUAAAAUCCUCUCCAAACUAACCGAUUCGCACAGAAACCAUAACUUCCUCGUUUGCAAGCGGUGGCUUAAUCUCCAAGGCCGCCUUGUACGGUCCUUGAAGGUGUUAGAUUGGGAGUUUAUUGAGUCUGGUCGCUUAAUUGCAAGAUUCCCAAAUCUGACCAAUGUGGAUUUGAUUAACGGUUGUAUUGUUACGCCUCAUAAUUCUAGCAUUUGGUUAAACCACAGGUUUCUUUCUAUGAAUAUCAAUUUUGAGAUAUCUGGGUUUGUUCCAAAUUGGCGUAUUUGUGAGGAAAAUUUGUUGCCUGUUGAGGUAGUUGAUAGAGGGCUUCAAGCAUUGGCCAGUGCUUGUCCUAAUUUGCGCAAGCUCAUAGUGAUUGGUGCUAGUGAGUUAGGUUUGUUGAGUGUAGCUGAGGAGUGUCUAACUUUGCAAGAACUGGAGUUGCACAAGUGCAAUGAUAACGUCUUGCGUGGGAUUGCAGCAUGCGACAACUUGCAGAUAUUGAAACUUGUAGGAAAUGUGGAUGGCCUUUAUAGAUCUCUGGUUUCGGAUAUUGGGUUGACAAUUUUGGCGCAAGGGUGCAAGAGGUUAGUGAAGCUUGAGCUUAGUGGAUGUGAGGGUAGCUUUGAUGGCAUUAAAGCAAUUGGGCAGUGUUGCCAAAUGCUUGAGGAAUUUACCCUUUGUGAUCAUAGGAUGGAUGAUGGGUGGUUGGCUGCGCUUUCAUAUUGUGAGAAUUUGAAAACUUUGAGGUUUCUGUCAUGCAUGAAGAUUGAUCCUAAUCCAGGGCCAGAUGAGUAUUUGGUUUCGUGUCCAGCCCUUGAAAAGCUGCAUUUGCAGAAAUGUCAGUUCAGAGACAAAAAGAGUGUUAGAGCUUUGUUUAAGGUGUGUGAAGCUGUUAGGGAAAUUGUUGUUAAGGACUGCUGGGGAUUGGACAAUGAUAUGUUUAGCUCGGCAAGUGUUUGCAGGAGGGUAAAGUUACUAUCUCUAGAAGGAUGCUCCUUGCUAACAACACAGGGACUGGAGUCUAUACUUCUUACCUCUAAUGAACUUCAACAUCUUAGAGUACAGUCCUGUAAGCACAUAAAAGAUUGUGAAGUCUCUGCUACACUUUCAACAUUAUUCUCUAGUCUUAAAGAGUUCAAAUGGAGACCAGAUACCAAAUCUCUUCUUGUGUCUAGUCUUGUGGGGACUGGCAUGGGAAAGAAAGGUGGUAAAUUUUUCAAGAAGUCAUAAGCCCUGAAGUUGCAGUCUGAUGAUUAGCAUCUGCAAUUUGACCAUCCCUGGAUGAUCCAGGCUGCUGCUGAAAAUACUGUACUUUCAUAUAGGGAUCAUUUUAUUGUUCAUUUAACAGGCUGGCAUGGAUCCUACGGAGAUUAUUCUUCUUUCAUCUUCAUUUGCAUGGAGGAGCAAGCUGAUGGAUAAAAGCUUGGGAAAGUUUAGGUCUUUCAGACCCUCUGCAGCCCCUUCAGUGCACAUCAGGUGCCCUGUGUCCAAUUCGAUGGCAAAUUGUUGAGGCGAAGAACAUGCUUUUGACAUGUUGUAUCUGCCAGUCCUUCCUAUAUGUAAUUAGACCAAGAUAACAGAUCAGAUUAUCGCAACUGUCAAAAUAAUACAUAUAUAUUUGAUAUACGGCUGGUUGUAUCAUCCUUCACCUUGUUGAUUUUUAGCACGCUGAAUGUUGCUAUUUUUGCUGGGGAAACAAUCAAAAUUAUUAGACGUUAGAUGCAGCUGGUUUUGUUAAAUAACUCGAAAACAUUUGUUACUGCUGGUAAUUUAUGAUCAUGGACUGAUCUAAAUCCAUUUGUUGGAUCAAGAAUGAAGGAUUUCCCUUGAAUAGUUUUGCUAAAUUGAGAUGAGGAUAGGUUACUUUGCGGAAGGGAAAGGAUUUUGCUGUUGCCACUAUAAGCCACAGUGAACCAAUUUGCCUGGAUAAUCAAAUUAUUCAAUUAAUACACAUUAUUUAUAUGGGUUUUUUUU
rnacentral:misc_RNA from 1 species